rnacentral:rRNA from 1 species
UACGUAGGGGGCAAGCGUUGUCCGGAUUUAUUGGGCGUAAAGAGCUCGUAGGUGGUUCGGUAAGUCGGAUGUGAAAUCUCCAGGCUCAACCUGGAGGGGCCAUUCGAUACUGCCGUGACUAGAGGUCGGUAGGGGAGUGUGGAAUUCCUGGUGGAGCGGUGAAAUGCGCAGAUAUCAGGAGGAACACCCGUAGCGAAGGCGGCACUCUGGGCCGAUACUGACACUGAGGAGCGAAAGCGUGGGGAGCGAACAGG